rnacentral:rRNA from 1 species
AUUUUUAAAAAAUUAUUAUUAUUUUUUAAUAAAAUAGAUUUAUUUUUUAGUAUUUUUAGAAUAAAUAAUUUAAAUUAUAGUUAAUUAGUAUAGUAGUAGAAAUUUUUAAAAAAAUAAAAAGUAGAUUUAAUUUAUUGUACCUUGUGUAUCAGGGUUUAUUAAUUUAUUAUUAAAGAUUUAAUAAUCUCGAUUUUAUAAGAGUUAAUUAAUUAUAAAUUUAAUUGUAAAAUAAAUUUUUAUAAUAAUUAAUUAGAAAUGAAACGUUAUUCGUUUAUAAAAAUAUCUAGUUUUUAAAGAAAAAAAUUUAAUUUUACGUUAGUUUAAAUAUAUUUUAAUUUUAAAAUAUUUUUUGAUUAAUAGUUAUAAAUAUUAGGAUUAGCUAAUAUUUAAAUAAUUAUAAAUAAAUGGUUAAUUAAUAAUUUAUAGGAUUAGAAAUUUUUAUUUUAUUUUGUUAUAAUUAAUUAUUUGAAUUUAUUUUUUUUAUUAAUUUUAAAUUGAAUAUUUAAAUAAUUUAUUUAAUUUUUAAGUAAAUUUAAUUAUGAUAAAAUUAGUAUAAUUUAUUGUAAAAUUAAUUUAUUAAUUUUAGGUUAAUUAAAAGAAUUCGGCAAAGUAUUUUUCGCCUGUUUAUUAAAAACAUGUCUUAUAGAUUAUAAUUUUAAGUUUAACCUGCCCACUGAUAUUAUUUAAUGGCCGCAGUAUUUUGACUGUGCAAAGGUAGCAUAAUAAUUAGUUUUUUAAUUGAAAGCUAGAAUGAAUGGUUGGACGAAAAAAUAACUGUUUCUAAUUAAUUUUAUUAAAAUUUAAUUUUUAAGUUAAAAAGCUUAAAUUUUUUUUAAAGACGAGAAGACCCUAUAGAGUUUUAUUUAAUUUAAAUUAUAAAAAUUUUAGAAUUUAAUUUUUUAUAUAUUUAUUUAAAUUUUAUUGGGGUGAUAGAAAAAUUUAAUUAACUUUUUUUAUAUUAAAACAUUGAUUUAUGAAAUAAUGAUCCAUUUAAAUGAUUAUAAGAUUAAAUUACCUUAGGGAUAACAGCGUAAUUUUUAUAAAGAGUUCUUAUCGAAAUAAAAGUUUGCGACCUCGAUGUUGGAUUAAAAUUAAUUUUGGUGUAGAAGCUAAAAUGUUAAGUCUGUUCGACUUUUAAAAUUUUACAUGAUCUGAGUUUAGACCGGCGUGAGCCAGGUUAGUUUCUAUCUUAAAAAUAAAAUUAUAUUUUAGUACGAAAGGACCAAGUAUA